rnacentral:rRNA from 1 species
UUUUAAAUUCUAAUUUAAUAGAAGUCAAGUUAUGGUCUGAGAGAUAACUUAAAAAUGGAAAGUUAUUUAGGAACAAGAUAAAAGGCAAAACACCAAACUUCAUACAAACUUAAAUGUUUGACAUUUAAAAAUUAAAGAGAUUUUUUUUUAAGUGUAUUUGAGACAAAUAAGCCAACCUUGGUACAUAACCGCUGAAAACUAAAAAACCGUACCCUAAACCAACACAGGUGGAUAGGUCGAGUAGACUAAGGUGUAUGAGAUAAUUAUGUUGAAGGAACUCGGCAAAAUGACUCUGUAACUUCGGGAGAAAGAGUACCUUUUUAUUUAAGUGUUUAUCGACGAAAUAAUAAGAAG